rnacentral:misc_RNA from 1 species
UGGAAGUAAAAGUCGUAACAAGGUUUCCGUAGGUGAACCCGCGGAAGGAUCAUUAAUAAAUUUUUUUUUUGAAAUAAAAAAAAAAUAAUAAUCAUCCUACCCUUUGUGAAUUUGUUUUGUUGAAUAAUUUUUUAAAAUUAUUUAUUGUCUAUCCAAGUUGGAAAGUUGAAAAGACUUGAAGACUUGGAGCGGCAUAAAUAAAUUUAAAGACUUUUUUCUAAAAUUAAACUUUUUGUAUCAUUUGUCUAAAAUAAUUUUUAUAAUAUAUAAAAACAACUUUUGACAAUGGAUCUCUUGGUUCUCGCAACGAUGAAGAACGCAGCAAAAUGCGAUAAGUAAUGUGAAUUGCAGAAUACGUGAAUCAUCGAAUCUUCGAACGCAUAUUGCACUUUUUUAGUUUACUAAAAAAGUAUGUCUGUUUGAGUAUCAGUAAAAUAUUCUCAUAAAAUUUUUAAUUUUAUGGUUAUGAGUGUUUUACAACGAUAAACAAGUUGUUUCACUUUAAAUUGAAUUUUUUGAAGAAAUUCUUUAUUUCAAAUUAAAUUUGGAUAAAAUUUUCCCGUAAAGAGGAAUAACUAUACAAGUUUAAUAAGAAUUUAGGAUUUCUUUUAUGAAAAGGAAAUUUAUUAAAUAACUUGAUCUCAAAUCAGAUAAGAGUACCCGCUGAACUUAAGCAUAUCAAUAAGCGGAGGAAAAGAAACUAACAAGGAUUCCCCUAGUAACGGCGAGUGAAGCGGGAAGAGCUCAAAUUUGAAAUCUUAAAGGGUUUCCCUUUACGAAUUGUAGUUUAAAGAAGUGUUUUCUGUUGAGGUUUUGGUAAAAGUUCUUUGGAAUAGGACAUCAUAGAGGGUGAGAAUCCCGUAUUUGACCUUUACUUUCAACUUUGUGAUACACUUUCAAAGAGUCGGAUUGUUUGGGAAUGCAGUCCAAAAUGGGUGGUAAAUUUCAUCUAAAGCUAAAUAUUGGCGAGAGACCGAUAGCGAACAAGUACCGUGAGGGAAAGAUGAAAAGAACUUUGAAAAGAGAGUUAAACAGUACGUGAAAUCGUCAAAAGGGAAGCGUUUGACACCAGUGUUGUUUUUCUGAAAAUCAAUUAAAGAACUGUUUAUGCUAAGUUGUUUAGACUUUAUCAGCUAACUGUUUAGUUUUGAGCUUUUCUUUAAUGCACUUUUCAGUUAACAAGUCAACAUCAAUUUCUUUUGCUGUAAAAAAAGCUUGAGGAAGGUGGCUUGAGAUUCGUCUUAAGUGUUUAUAGCCUCUUGCCUAUGCAGUCGGAGAGAUUGAGGUCUGCAGCGUAGAUCCUUCGGGGCUAAAUGCAUUUGUGCUAAGUUAUAGCAUUUUAUAGACAACUUGUUGACUAUGAUUUGUCUUGUAGCCUACUCGCUUAUGUUAUUUUACCUACGCUUAGGAUGUUGAAA